rnacentral:rRNA from 1 species
UCACACCAUGGGAGUUUGUUGCACCAGAAGUAGCUAGCCUAACUGCAAAGAGGGCGGUUACCACGGUGUGGCCGAUGACUGGGGUGAAGUCGUAACAAGGUAGCCGUAGGGGAACCUGCGGCUGGAUCACCUCCUUA